GGUUAUUGAUGUGCAAUCAUUUUUUCUGAUGUAGGUAAAGGUGCGAAAGACUCAUCGAACCACCUAAUAGCUGGUUUCCUCCGAAGUUUCCCUCAGGAUAGCUGUAAUGCAUUUAGUUAAGGGGAGUAGAGAUAUGGGUAGAGGUGCAGGGAGCCUUCGGGUUCUCAACUUAUUUCCAAACUUCGAACCUCCUUGUUAGGCAUUUACCUAACUGGAAAUGCUUAAAUGAAUUAGCGUUACAAGUGGGCUCUGACCGGUAAGCGGUCAUGGCGAAAUGGGAUGAACCAUACGUCUGAAUAAGGUGCCGAAAUGUACUAUCACUGAUACCAUAAAGGGAGUCCAUGUAUUUAGACAGCAGGUCGGUGCCCCUAAAAGCAGGUAUCCGCUAAAGAGUGUGUUAAAACUCACCUGCCGAAUACUAGGGCCCCGAAAAUGAAUGGCGCAUAUAGUACUACCGAUCUCAGACAUCAGUUCUAUUGAACUGAGAGUAGGGGGAUGUGGACAUUUUUGUGAAGGUGCAAUGUGAGUUGGACUGGAAGAAUGUCUAUUACAGAUCCUAAUUGAAGUAGCGAUUAUCCAGGCUUGUAUCCUGGGGGCUGAUGAGGAGUAGGGUUUCUGGACAACUUAAACAGAUCCAGAGUUAGUCGAUCCUAAUCUCAAUAAUGGGAGAAAGGGAGUACAGUUGAUAUUCUGUAACUGACAACAGUUCGCGGCAACGCAUACUAUUUUUCUCCGCCAAUCUUAUACCGUUGGUAGGGAUCUCUUUCCUACAUGACAGUACUAAUACCCAGGGAAACUGGUCAUCAGGCGAACUGCGGCGUUCUGCUGGCAAAACAUAGCU
rnacentral:ncRNA from 1 species